UACGUAGGGUGCGAGCGUUAAUCGGAAUUACUGGGCGUAAAGCGUGCGCAGGCGGUUCGCUAAGACCGAUGUGAAAUCCCCGGGCUUAACCUGGGAACUGCAUUGGUGACUGGCAGGCUAGAGUAUGGCAGAGGGGGGUAGAAUUCCACGUGUAGCAGUGAAAUGCGUAGAGAUGUGGAGGAAUACCGAUGGCGAAGGCAGCCCCCUGGGCCAAUACUGACGCUCAUGCACGAAAGCGUGGGGAGCAAACAGG
rnacentral:rRNA from 1 species